rnacentral:rRNA from 1 species
CAAACGGGGGAGGAAGGUGGGGAUGACGUCAAGUCAGGCAUGACCUUUAUAUCCAGGGCUACACACACGCGUACAAUGGUCUGUACAAUGGGUAGCCAAGGCCGCGAGGCGGAGCCAAUCCUGAAAGCAGGCCUCAGUUCAGAUUGCAGUCUGCAACUCGACUGCAUGAAGCCGGAGUUGCUAGUAACCGCAGGUCAGCAAUACUGCGGUGAAUACCGGUUCCCGGGUCUU